UGAUUGUUACCUUCAUCUUGCUCUCCUG
rnacentral:piRNA from 1 species